GAGGGAAACCGAGUCUUAAUUGGGCGUUAAGUUGCAGGGUAUAGACCCGAAACCCGGUGAUCUAGCCAUGGGCAGGUUGAAGGUUGGGUAACACUAACUGGAGGACCGAACCGACUAAUGUUGAAAAAUUAGCGGAUGACCUGUGGCUGGGGGUGAAAGGCCAAUCAAACCGGGAGAUAGCUGGUUCUCCCCGAAAGCUAUUUAGGUAGCGCCUCGUGAAUUCAUCUCCGGGGGUAGAGCACUGUUUCGGCUAGGGGGCCAUCCCGGCUUACCAACCCGAUGCAAACUGCGAAUACCGGAGAAUGUUAUCACGGGAGACACACGGCGGGUGCUAACGUCCGUCGUGAAGAGGGAAACAACCCAGACCGCCAGCUAAGGUCCCAAAGUCAUGGUUAAGUGGGAAACGAUGUGGGAAGGCCCAGACAGCCAGGAUGUUGGCUUAGAAGCAGCCAUCAUUUAAAGAAAGCGUAAUAGCUCACUGGUCGAGUCGGCCUGCGCGGAAGAUGUAACGGGGCUAAACCAUGCACCGAAGCUGCGGCAGCGACGCUGAUGCGUUGUUGGGUAGGGGAGCGUUCUGUAAGCCUGCGAAGGUGGCCUGUGAGGGUUGCUGGAGGUAUCAGAAGUGCGAAUGCUGACAUAAGUAACGAUAAAGCGGGUGAAAAGCCCGCUCGCCGGAAGACCAAGGGUUCCUGUCCAACGUUAAUCGGGGCAGGGUGAGUCGACCCCUAAGGCGAGGCCGAAAGGCGUAGUCGAUGGGAAACGGGUUAAUAUUCCCGUACUUGGUGUUACUGCGAAGGGGGGACGGAGAAGGCUAUGUUGGCCGGGCGACGGUU
rnacentral:rRNA from 1 species